UGCAAGUCGAGCGAAUGACGAGGAGCUUGCUCCUCUGAUUUAGCGGCGGACGGGUGAGUAACACGUGGGCAACCUGCCCUGCAGACUGGGAUAACUUCGGGAAACCGGAGCUAAUACCGGAUAAUCCAUUUUACUUCAUGGUGAAAUGUUGAAAGGCGCUUUCGCGCCACUGCAGGAUGGGCCCGCGGUGCAUUAGCUAGUUGGUGGGGUAACGGCCUACCAAGGCGACGAUGCAUAGCCGACCUGAGAGGGUGAUCGGCCACAUUGGGACUGAGACACGGCCCAAACUCCUACGGGAGGCAGCAGUAGGGAAUCUUCCACAAUGGACGAAAGUCUGAUGGAGCAACGCCGCGUGAGUGAUGAAGGUUUUCGGAUCGUAAAACUCUGUUGUAAGGGAAGAACAAGUACGUUAGGAAAUGAACGUACCUUGACGGUACCUUAUUAGAAAGCCACGGCUAACUACGUGCCAGCAGCCGCGGUAAUACGUAGGUGGCAAGCGUUGUCCGGAUUUAUUGGGCGUAAAGCGCGCGCAGGUGGUUUCUUAAGUCUGAUGUGAAAUCUCGCGGCUCAACCGCGAGCGGUCAUUGGAAACUGGGGAACUUGAGUGCAGAAGAGGAUAGUGGAAUUCCAAGUGUAGCGGUGAAAUGCGUAGAGAUUUGGAGGAACACCAGUGGCGAAGGCGACUGUCUGGUCUGUAACUGACACUGAGGCGCGAAAGCGUGGGGAGCAAACAGGAUUAGAUACCCUGGUAGUCCACGCCGUAAACGAUGAGUGCUAAGUG
rnacentral:rRNA from 1 species